CGUAAGCGGAGAUUUUGCUCGCUAGCAGAGACUUCAGGAGUGAUCCUCUUUAGACUCCCAGCCUCUGAGGCCGUACCCCUGUCCCCACAGGUCAUGGGUCGGAUCUCGGGGCUCGUGCCCUCUCGCUUUCUGACACUCCUGGCACAUCUAGUGGUCGUCAUCACCUUAUUCUGGUCCCGGGACAGCAACAUCCAAGCUUGCCUGCCUCUCAGGUUCACCCCCGAGGAAUAUGAGAAGCAGGACAUUCAACUGGUGACAGCGCUCUCUGUCACCCUGGGCCUCUUUGCAGUGGAGCUGGCCGGUUUCUUCUCAGGAGUUUCCAUGUUCAACAGCACGCAGAGUCUCAUCUCUAUUGGGGCUCACUGUAGUGCAUCUGUGGCUCUAUCCUUCUUCAUAUUCGAGCGCUGGGAGUGUACCACAUACUGGUACAUUUUUGUUUUCUGCAGCGCCCUCCCAGCUAUCACAGAAGUGACUUUAUUCAUCGCUGUCCUUGGACUGAAAAAGAAACCUUUCUGAUCACCUUCAUGACGGGAAAGAAAGGAGGGAGGAAGGCUGGAGGAGCGAGAGGCUGCUUACCGUUCCUGGAAAAAGGAAAACAUUGGCUUCAGGUUCUUCUCCCUCUCCCCUCAAACUAUUUCUGGAGACAAUUGGAGUAGCUAAACUGCGGGAGAAAAGAAUGGCUGUUUUUCAGCACUGCAAGACGGUUAGUCUCCAGUUUGAGAUCCUACUGCUUCAGACUUCUGAGUGGCCAGGAUUACGUUGUGCACCACCGCUUGUUUUAAUUCCAAGAAUCAUUUUAUAUGGCUGUUUUUCUAUAACGUGUCAGUCAUACUAACUGUUGCAAAUGAUCAAGUUUUCAAUAUUACAGAACCACUUGCUCAGGGUGAGAGCCCGCUGUAGGUUGGAGCUCCCACCCACAAACCUAGUAAAAUCUUUAUAAAAUUUUGUUGUCUGAUGAGAACACCCACACUCCUUCCUACUAGUGCUGAUAAUAACAUAUUCUAAAGGAAGUUAUUAAAACACAUACAAUUAGGCAUUAUAGAAACACAAAUUACAUGAAUUUAAUGUUCUGUCAUGUCACAGGUUGAAUAUUCUCAGAAUCAGUGUAGUUGGGAUGGUUCCCUGUACACUUUUCAGUCCUGAAAUGCAGAGACCACAUCAUUACAAAAAUAAGCAAAAAUCAUACAAGGAGACACUAUCUAAUGAUGCCUUAAACACACGUUUUCUGUCUAUCCUCAUAGAAGAACUUCAUCCUUAGCAUUCAUUCAGUACUUACUGAACUCUUACUAUUAUGCAAAGUGAUGUAAUUGGAACUAAGGGAAUUGAUGUGAAUAUGAUUCAUACUCAGCUUUCACCAUCAUAAAUUUUUAAAAUAUUUUUUAAUUGUAGAUGGUCUUUUAUUUGUUUAUCUUUAUGUGGUGCUGAGGAUCAAACCCAGUGCCUCACACAUGCUAGGCAAGCACUCUAUCACUGAACCACAGCCCCAGCACCACCAUCACAAAUCUUAUGUCUAAUACAAAAAAGAAACAAUUUCUGGUUUACCCAGGGUGAUUUAAUUCUGCAAAUUGUGAAACUGCUACAGAAGAUAUUUAAAGGUGAUAUGGAGUAGAAAUUAAUUUACCUAAGGUGUGGCAAGGAAUGUUACUUAUAUAAGAGCAGUUUGAACUCUUGGAGCUCAGAUGAGUGGAGAGGUAGGACAGCAGAGUGUAGGGAAGGCAGGAGGGUGUACCUUGCUGGCCAUGGUUAAUGCCUUGAUAGGAAAAAUCUGUCCCAUCCCCUUGCAGUCUGCCUCCAUUCUCCCCAAGUGGAGAGAAAGCUGAUUAUCAGGAACUUUAUGGACCCAUUUUAAACCUAUCCAUUAUUGGAAGUUACUUAUAAUUAAAUAAGCUAUAGUUAGGCUGGAAUGUACAUCAGUGGAAGAGUGCACACAUAAGAGAACUUGAGGCCCUGGGUUCAAUCCCUGGCACCAAAAAAUAAAAUAAGGUAAAAAGUAAUAUAAAAAGAGGUAAUAAGUACUCAAAAUUUUUUCCUUCCUGAUUGUUUUAUUGUUACACACUCUUGUAAUUAUUUGUGUUUAUUGUAUCUGUAUGGUAGAAAUAACAUAUAAUGAUUGUAUACUGUGCAUCUGUUCCCAACUAAUUUAUUGACUUGUAGGUGGUUUGAAAUAGAUAUUAGCAGGAAUAUUUACACUACAGAAAUUGGCAAAUGCUACAAAUCAGGCUUUGUUAUUUGUCUACAUUUAAGAAAGUGAUACAGAAAAUGUUAACGCAGAUUAAAUUUAAAGGUAUUUUGUCUGUAACUGCUGUUACAUUGUGAAUAGCACAAUCCAAAUAUUCUCAAGGAUAUGGUUGUGGCCACACCUGUAACCCUAGUAAUUUGGUCGACUGAAGCAGGAUUGCAAAUUCCAUGGCAAUUUAGUGAGACACUAUCUCAAAAGAAGUAAGAGUGUAUGUGUCUGAGGUAGUUUAGUGGUAGAGCA